GAUGAACGCUAGCUACAGGCUUAACACAUGCAAGUCGAGGGGAAACGGCAUUGAGUGCUUGCACUCUUUGGACGUCGACCGGCGCACGGGUGAGUAACGCGUAUCCAACCUUCCCAUUACUGUGGGAUAACCUGCCGAAAGGCAGACUAAUACCGCAUAGUCUUCGAUGACGGCAUCAGAUUUGAAGUAAAGAUUUAUCGGUAAUGGAUGGGGAUGCGUCUGAUUAGCUUGUUGGCGGGGUAACGGCCCACCAAGGCUACGAUCAGUAGGGGUUCUGAGAGGAAGGUCCCCCACAUUGGAACUGAGACACGGUCCAAACUCCUACGGGAGGCAGCAGUGAGGAAUAUUGGUCAAUGGACGGAAGUCUGAACCAGCCAAGUAGCGUGCAGGAUGACGGCCCUAUGGGUUGUAAACUGCUUUUGUAUGGGGGUAAAGUUAGGGACGUGUCCCUAUUUGCAGGUACCAUACGAAUAAGGACCGGCUAAUUCCGUG
rnacentral:rRNA from 1 species